rnacentral:rRNA from 1 species
ACGGGUGAGUAAUGUCUGGGGAUCUGCCCGAUAGAGGGGGAUAACCACUGGAAACGGUGGCUAAUACCGCAUAACGUCGCAAGACCAAAGAGGGGGACCUUCGGGCCUCUCACUAUCGGAUGAACCCAGAUGGGAUUAGCUAGUAGGCGGGGUAAUGGCCCACCUAGGCGACGAUCCCUAGCUGGUCUGAGAGGAUGACCAGCCACACUGGAACUGAGACACGGUCCAGACUCCUACGGGAGGCAGCAGUGGGGAAUAUUGCACAAUGGGCGCAAGCCUGAUGCAGCCAUGCCGCGUGUAUGAAGAAGGCCUUCGGGUUGUAAAGUACUUUCAGCGGGGAGGAAGGCGACGGGGUUAAUAACCCUGUCGAUUGACGUUACCCGCAGAAGAAGCACCGGCUAACUCCGUGCCAGCAGCCGCGGUAAUACGGAGGGUGCAAGCGUUAAUCGGAAUUACUGGGCGUAAAGCGCACGCAGGCGGUCUGUUAAGUCAGAUGUGAAAUCCCCGGGCUUAACCUGGGAACUGCAUUUGAAACUGGCAGGCUUGAGUCUUGUAGAGGGGGGUAGAAUUCCAGGUGUAGCGGUGA